UACGAAGGGGGCAAGCGUUGUUCGGAAUUACUGGGUGUAAGGAGUUCGUAGGCGGUGUAGCAAGUCGGGAGUGAAAUCUCUGGGCUUAACCCAGAGGCUGCUUCCGAAACUGCUGUGCUUGAGUGUGGGAGAGGCGCGUGGAAUUGCAGGUGUAGCGGUGAAAUGCGCAGAUAUCAGGAGGAACACCAAUUGCGAAGGCAGCUCGCUGGGACGUUACUGACGCUGAGACGCGAAAGCGUGGGGAGCAAACAGG
rnacentral:rRNA from 1 species